ACCACCCUGAACAAGCCCGAUCCCAUCUGAUCUUGGAAGCUAAGCAGGGUCGGGCCUGAUUAGUACUUGGAUGGAAGAUCACCUAGGAAGACCAGGU
rnacentral:rRNA from 1 species